rnacentral:lncRNA from 1 species
UUGAAAGGCCCACCAGCCAGGUGUGAGGGCUCUUGCCUAUAAAUGCAACACUUCAGUAAGCUGAGGUGGAAAGAUCACUUGAGCCCAGGAGUUACAGAACAGCCUGGGCAACGCAGGAAGACUCCCAUCUCUACAAAAUGUUAGGGAAAAAAAAAAAACAGGCAUGGGGCACACACUUGUGGUCCCAGCUACUUGAAAGGGGACACUGAGGUAGAAGGAUCUCGUGGGCUCAGAAGAUCGAGGCUGCAGUGAGCCAUGAUUGCAUCACUGCACUCCAGCCUGGGUGACAGAGUGAAGAAAAGAAAGAAAGAAAGAGAGAGAGAGAGAGAGAGGNNNNNNNNNNGGAAGGAAGGAAGGAAGGAAGGAAGGAAGGAAGGAAGGAAGGAAGGAAGGAAGGAGGGAAGGGGAAAGGAAGGGAAGGGAAGGAGGGAGGGAGGGAAUGAAGGAAGGAAGGAAGGACGGGAGGGAAGGAGGGAAGGAAGGAAGGAAAGAAGGAAGUUUUUGAAAUGAGUUUUUGAAAAGAAAAAUUCCUUUCUCUCUCAGAAAGUUGAUAUUUCAAACACACAAUAAGCUGAGUCACAUACUUGACUGAGUCUUUAUAAAUUGGAGAUAACAAUUAGACUUGUCCUUCCAUUUCCAGACUUUGUGCUCUAGCUAUACAAGUCUGCACUUCAAUGAGAUCCAGCUUAGUAACCUUAAACACUAUUUUUGCUUCCAAGAUGGUGCCUUGUUGCUGCAUCCUUGCAUGGCAGAAGGGUGAAUACUGUAUCCUCACCAUAUACACACUUUAUGUCCGUGUGUCACAUUUUGGUAAUUCCUACAAUAUUUCAAACCUUAAAAUUAUUAUAUCUAUUAGAGUGAUCUGUGAUCAGUUAUCUUUGGUGUUACUACUGUUAUUACUUUGGCGCAUGAUGAGAUGUGCCCAUAAAACACAGCAGUGAACCUAUUCGAUAAAUGUAUGCAUGUCCUGGCUGCUCCUUGAGCUGGCUGUUUUAUGUCAUCUAGGAUCAACAAAAUUGAUAAAUCAUAAUAUGUGGGAGUCUAAGUCUCUUUGUAGGUCACUCAGGACUUGCUUUAUGAAUCUGGGUGCUCCUGUAUUGGGUGCAUAUAUAUUUAGGAUAGUUAGCUCUUCUUGUUGAAUUGAUCCCUUUACCAUUAUGUAAUGGCCUUCUUUGUCUCUUUUGAUCUUUGUUGGUUUAAAAUCUGUUGAACCUAGGUUAAUACUGGCAGUGCUGCCUAUAGAAAGAGAUGUAUUCUACAUGUCCAGCCUAGAGCAGUUGAGAACAUAUAGAUGAGUAUAGUGAAAGUCAGAGGAGAUUUAUACAAAGGCAAGAACAAUCUUGUUUUUGUUAAAUCACCAGAAUGUAGCUCAGUGGUGUGCACAGAGUAGUAAUACAUAUUGGUUGAGAUCACUAAUAGCA